UAUAUAUAUAUAUAUUCAUAUAUAUAUGUAUAUAUAUAGGGGUGGGCAAACUUUUCAUAGCAAAGAGCUAACUGAGGCUUUCGGGUUCAACUUGCUUGGUGAAGUGACAACGUAAAAGAAAUCUACUGAAACAAAUACAAUUCACAUCAAGCACCUAAAAAACAACAACAACAACAAAAAAAACCCAGCGAUAGUUGGUGGUGCCCCGAAGUGAGAGGAAAGGAUACGCAGAACAGGACAAGGUUAUAGUUGUACUUAGAUUUGGAGAAGAACUGUUCGCCAGGGUAAGUGUCGCCCCCCAAAAAAAGCCAGAAAUAUUGACUUGGUUCGUUCAUUUUGGAAAAAAAGUCAUUCCCUCAUUACAGUGAUUUUUAUUUUAUCCUCCAGACAAUCAGAGAUAAAUAAAACAUCAAAUGGGACUAUAAUCAUGACGUUGCAGCAGAGACCCGAAGAUCAUGGUGAUGGAGAUGAUGAUGGUGAUGAUGAUGAUGAUGAUGAUGAUGAUAAUGAUGAUGAAGAUAAUGGGAUACUUCAAUGCCGAGAGUAAUGUUUACACCAUAACUGAUAACUAAGAACCUGAUGAUGACCGUGAGUACCCGGUGAUUAUGAAGAUGGUAAUCGGUAUUGCAUGCAGUGCGUUUAAAUACCAGGAGACGCAUAGUGAUAAUAUGGGUGACGACAGCAAUGACGAUGGUAAUAAUGAUAAUGAUAAUGACGAUGGUAAUAAUGAUAAUGAUAAUGACGAUGGUAAUAAUGAUAAUGAUAAUGACGAUGGUAAUAAUGAUAAUGAUAAUGACGAUGGUAAUAAUGAUAAUGAUAAUGACAAUGACAAUGACGAUGGAAAUGAUGAUAUUAAUGAUGAUGACAAUGACGAUAUUAAUGAUGAUAGUAAUGAUGAUAUCAAUGAUGAUAGUAAUGAUGAUAUCAAUGAUGAUAGUAAUGAUGAUAUCAAUGAUGAUAGUAAUGAUGAUAUCAAUGAUGAUAGUAAUGAUGAUAUCAAUGAUGAUAGUAAUGAUGAUAUCAAUGAUGAUAGUAAUGAUGAUAUCAAUGAUGAUAGUAAUGAUGAUAUCAAUGAUGAUAGUAAUGAUGAUGUCAAUGAUGAUAUCAAUGACGAUAUUAAUGAUGAUAGUAAUGAUGAUGUCAAUGAUGAUAGUAAUGAUGAUAUUAAUGAUGAUAUCAAUGAUGAUAUUAAUGAUGAUUAAGAAGGAUGAAACGUACAAUGUUACCGAAGAAAGACGUAAUGACGAUGAAGCGAUACCAAGAACAGGGAAAAGGGAUGACAGAAGAAGGAAUACAGGAAACCCAAUAACAGCUGACUAAAGAAGAAAAAUGAAGCAAAAAUACGGUGAUAGAGAGAGA